UAUGUACUCCCUCCGUUCCAAAUUACUUGACCUUCAUUUGUCUAGAUACGAAUGUCUAGAUACAUCCGUGUCUAGACAAAUAGAGGUCAAGUAAUUUGGAACAGAGGGAGUACGUC
rfam:Triticum urartu cultivar G1812 contig144164, whole genome shotgun sequence.